rnacentral:rRNA from 1 species
CAAUAGCGUAUAUUAAAGUUGUUGCGGUAAAAAAGCUCGUAGUUGGAUUUCUACCGAAGAUAGCCGGUCGGGUCUUCGACCUUGUAUCUGGUUUUGUCUUUGGUAUCCUCAUAGGGAACGUUUCUGCGCUUUAUUGCGUGGUGCGGUAUCUAUGACUUUUACUUUGAGGAAAUUAGAGUGUUCACGGCAGGCAAACGCCUUGAAUAUAUUAGCAUGGAAUAAUAGCAUAGGAUCUUCGUCCUAUUUUGUUGGUUUCUAGGGCUAAGAUAAUGAUUAAUAGGGAUAAUUGGGGGCAUCUGUAUCAACGCGUCAGAGGUGGAAUUCUUGGAUUGCGUUGCGACAAACUACUGCGAAAGCAUUUGCCAAGGAUGUUUUCAUUGA